CGAGGCCGAUUGCGCCCUCGCCUUUGCCGAGGCCCAGCGCUGGGUGGAGGCAGUGACAGAGAAGAAUUUUGAAGCAAAGGAUUUUCGAGCUUCUCUAGAAAAUGGCGUACUGUUGUGUGAUUUGGUUAAUAAGCUUAAACCUGGUGUCAUU